AGCUCGAUGAGUAGGGCGGGACACGUGGUAUCCUGUCUGAAUAUGGGGGGACCAUCCUCCAAGGCUAAAUACUCCUGACUGACCGAUAGUGAACCAGUACCGUGAGGGAAAGGCGAAAAGAACCCCGGCGAGGGGAGUGAAAAAGAACCUGAAACCGUGUACGUACAAGCAGUGGGAGCCCCACCACUAAGCCAGUGGUGAACUCCACAUACGCAUCCUUUGCUGAGGAUACGGUUAACGGAGCGAAAGCGACGUUCAACCGCAAAAGAAGCAGAGGGGGCUUAGUGGUGGGGUGACUGCGUACCUUUUGUAUAAUGGGUCAGCGACUUAUAUUCUGUAGCAAGGUUAACCGAAUAGGGGAGCCGGAGGGAAACCGAGUCUUAACCGGGCGUUAAGUUGCAGGGUAUAGACCCGAAACCCGGUGAUCUAGCCAUGGGCAGGUUGAAGGUUGGGUAACACUAACUGGAGGACCGAACCGACUAAUGUUGAAAAAUUAGCGGAUGACCUGUGGCUGGGGGUGAAAGGCCAAUCAAACCGGGAGAUAGCUGGUUCUCCCCGAAAGCUAUUUAGGUAGCGCCUCGUGAAUUCAUCUCCGGGGGUAGAGCACUGUUUCGGCUAGGGGGCCAUCCCGGCUUACCAACCCGAUGCAAACUGCGAAUACCGGAGAAUGUUAUCACGGGAGACACACGGCGGGUGCUAACGUCCGUCGUGAAGAGGGAAACAACCCAGACCGCCAGCUAAGGUCCCAAAGUCAUGGUUAAGUGGGAAACGAUGUGGGAAGGCCCAGACAGCCAGGAUGUUGGCUUAGAAGCAGCCAUCAUUUAAAGAAAGCGUAAUAGCUCACUGGUCGAGUCGGCCUGCGCGGAAGAUGUAACGGGGCUAAACCAUGCACCGAAGCUGCGGCAGCGACGCUUAUGCGU
rnacentral:rRNA from 1 species